CUGAGCCAUCGGCCCAGAGCCUGACGCGGGGCUCGAACUCCCGGACCGCGAGAUUGUGACCUGACUGAAGUCGGAUGCUUAACCGACUGCGCCACCCAGGCGCCCCUGAGAUCGAGUUCUUGGUGUCCUCCUCAUGAGCUGUCCAAACAGAAGUUGUGUCCACUGCAGCCCGAGGAGAAGCUUCGGCUCUUUCUCAAGUUUGGGAGCAUCUCUUUUGAGCAAAGUUAUGUAUCACUAAGCUGCUUGCUCUUUCUAGACCAUGGAAUCUAGCACUUUCACAGUUGUUGUUUUUUCUUUAAAGUAUUUUAAAUGUCGAGGUGGUGGGGAAGUCCGCCUUUGGAGUCUUUGUAUUUACGGUUAAAGUGGUGCCAAGACUUUGUCCGGCUGUAAGUUAGCGGGUCUCGGCAGGACCGCUGCUGUUUGGUGGGAGAUAAACAUGAACUUUUUGGCACCCUAGUGUUUCUGUAUGCAUGUGCAUACAUGCAGUGCAUGUAUGGCUUCUGGAAGAAGGUGCACAGAAAAACCACCUUUUUAGAGUUUGUACAUGAAAGGCCUACCAUCAGACACACACAGAGCCACAUGUGACUGUCACAGUCAUUCCAUUACUGAUUUGGAUACCCUGCUGUCCGCAAUCAGUAUAAGGAUCUGUUUUACUUUGCAAGAGCAGGAUUUUACCACCUUGCUUCGGGGCAGAGGAGUGAGGACACAUUUCAGGAUGGAGGGGGCAAUUGGAUAGGAAUGAUAGGGAUUACUGAGUGUCUUCUUAACAUCCUUAGCUGGUCCCUGGCUCCCUGGCUCUCCUAGAUCCUAGAUGCUGCUUAUUUAACUGUCCUUAAGUGAUGCCUGCUUGUCCAUACACUUGUGCUGUGACCCAAGUCACACACAGAUUCAAUUCUGUUGCUACUGUGAAUAUCUUUAAAACCUUCGGUGGACUGCUGGAUACCCAGUAUGUUUUGAUGACUGUAGCUGAUUUUAUGUCUUUAAAUGAUCACUCUCUUUGUUUUCAUACACAUGGGUUUCAAUUUUUUUCACCUUCGGGGCAAACUAAAAACUUGGCUCUCUUCAUUUGAAAAUGCAUACCGGCCUGCAGGCUCCGAGGACCCUGCCAUCCAAGCGCCAUCUAAGAUGCUUUAAGUUAAUAGCCUAAGGACAAGAUGCAUUUGUAAAUAAAUUAAUCAUGGGCAGAAGUUCAAUAUUAAGGUGCCAUUUUAAAAUCUGACUUUGAUAACGUUAAACAACAUAUACACAUUUUCAAGGUCAUUUUUUUCUUCCAAGAGUUUAUGUCUAGAGUUUUACGGAUUCCCUGUUAGAGUCUUUAUCUUUCACAGCACCCUCUGGGAGAAAGCAUGCUCUUCACGCGAAGAUCUUGUACCUUUGGAUGUGAACAAAGACGUGCAUCCAGCGGGCAUCCCUUCCCGAGUUCUCGGUGAUGCUGUCACUUCCACACCCGGUGUCUGUAUUGUAACUUGAAAACAGCGCUGAUCUUACUUCACCUUUCUGUGCUUCCUGAGCGGCACCCCGUGUAUCCUGCACCCUACCUGCUGCUCGUGAGUGCACACGGACUGGUCCUUUAUACACGGCUGGUGCUGCGCCUCGUGCACAAUCCUUUCUCUACUCAGAUUUUUACACAGCUCUUGAUAACAUUUCAGGGCCGAUAAAUCUCUGUAAGCACGUUAUACGCACAUAUAUAUACUCCUGUUACCGAUACUACGGGGUUUAGGCUGCGUUGCUGCCUUCUCUGGUAAUGCUCCCUUUGGGUACUCUUGGACACCCCCCAGGGUGAGGCUAUCCGGCUUCUUUGCCUCGCGUGUGUCGGAGCCAACAUGAUUAAGAAAUUUACAGGUGGCACCUGAGAUGUUCCAUUUGUUCCUUGCUCUUUGACUUGAAGUCAGUUGCCUAAUUUGGGGAAUAGUUAUAAUGUCACCUGUUGAGACCAUUUUAAAAGCCUGUGAAAGUGACUUUGCCUGUUUACUUCUUUGCCUCAGGUUGAUGCUUUAUUUUAACCAGUAUUCUUGCAACGGGAUCGGGGCUCCUGAUGAACCGCAUAGGUUCACUGCAGAACGUAAGCACAAUUUGAAUUCUGUGAUUUCUGGUACACGUCCCCAGCACAGCCUCCUUUUGUAAACGCUGCAGACAGGAGUGUGGCCAUUUUCACGCAGAUGGCCCUGGCAAGUGGGAGUCGGGACCUCCUCUGGCUGGUCCGGUCGCAGCCACCGAGUGUCCUGCUGGUCUGGGGACAUGAGUCGUUCAUUCAGCAUUCAGAGAAGUGCCUCUCAUUUCUGGGGAAUUGUUUACAUCCAUGUUAUGCUUCAACCAAUUAAAAUGAUGCAAGGUAAAAAAAAUGUAGAGAAUGUAAGAAGAAUUAAUUGCUUCCGGCUCAGAACCAGUGGGAAAUGUAAAAACAUACAAAAACAAACUGCAAAAAUAUAUCAGUAUUAGUACAGUUAUUUAGAUUGAGACUACUUCUCAAAUCUUCAAUGGCUCGAUUGGCCAAAGGUUCGUAAGUGACUGGGCACUUACGAGGGCAGGGUGGGUGCCCCGUGUCAGCAAAGAUCGGGGGACGUGGUUGAUCUCAUGGCAGCUACGGGCUCAAGGGAGGAAGGUUUGGAGUGGUUCUUAAGCUAUUAGGUUAGUUUCCGGAGAAACGGAAGAAUCUUUACCUUUCAUGCUUUAAAUAUUGCCUAAGUCCUCUUUACGCUCACCUACUGGAGUAGUUAAAAACAUAAAACCCUGGGUAGGUGGUAGUGGAUUUCACGGUAACAGAGAAGCAGUAUUUAUUAUGCAUUCACGUGCACGUACAGAGCUCCGUUUCAAAUGGCCUGACUCUGUGGGGCAUGUUUGUUAUUUGCCGUUAUGAUUAUCGUAUGCUUGGUUUUGUACAUAAUAAUACAGAGCGCGUGCAAGUUUUUGUGAGUCUGGAUUUCUUUCCUUGAGAUCAAUUAAACAGUAGGAGAUAUCGUC